rnacentral:misc_RNA from 1 species
UUUUUUUUUUUUUAAAAAAAAAUAUUUAUUAACUCUUAUUUAUGUCUCAUUUAUUUUAUAAAAGGGAAAAAUAUCAUUUCUUUUCUAGAGCAGCCUGUUCUUAACAAAUACAUUUUCAGGCAAGCACCACUAUUGUUAACUAGAUUGAAGGAACUAACCCUACUGUUUCCUAUCAUGGUGAGGAAUGGCAUGAUUUACAAAAAGCUGUUAGUCAUUCAUCUAGAGCAGGCCACUGGUAAAUACUCAGAUUCACUGAAUUAGUAUUCUAUUUAUUAGAACAUCUCGGUUUGGAAAAAGAAAACCCAAUUCUUGCUUGAAAAGUUUAAAAUUGCAAGAAUUUAAUUCUUUUAGUUAAAAAAAAAAAAGUCAUUUGAAAGAGAUGAAUGCAUGCCAUAAGUGCUAUGAUUUUGCAAAAAUUCAAUUAUUUAAUGAAGUCUCUUAUCGAAAACUGGAAACACCUCUACUUAAAUUAUAUUUAUUCUUUAUAAAUAAAAGCAAAAUAGGAAUAUAAGCACGUUCAUUUUACUUUUCAUAUAUUUCAAACAAUAUAAUUCAAAUGAACUUUAUUAUUUUAAAAUUUAUUCCAAACAAAAUCAUUUGAAUUUAAUUUAAUAUAAAAAUCAUUUGAAUUUUAAAAUAAUUGAAUUGAGUUAUAGCACAAGAAUCAUUCCAAACAUGGUGCCAAAAAAUAAGAGGAAAAAAAAUAUAAAAAAUGUGGUUAGACAUUAGAGAUGCAUUUAGAAAAGGAGAGAGAGUAGAUAAUUGAGAAAAGAAUUUUCUUAACUGAGAGGCAUGCAGUAGAGACCAUCUCUCUGGAAUGAAGAAAAGGAGGUCCUGGGUCAUUAUUGUUUGGAUUGAGUGAAGAAGAAGGGUAGGCAAGGGAAAAAGAGAGGCUACAUGAGGAAAAGGAAAUUAUAAAGUGAAGAAGGCUGAUGAGAGAGAGAGAGAGAGAGA